GGUUGUAGCUCAGUGGUAGAGCGCUUGCUUCGCAUGUGUGAGGCCCUGGGUUCAAUCCUCAGCACCA
rnacentral:tRNA from 1 species